rnacentral:rRNA from 1 species
AAUCAACGCUGGCGGCGCGCUUAACACAUGCAAGUCGAACGAGAAAGUGGAGCAAUCCAUGAGUAAAGUGGCGUACGGGUGAGUAACACGUGGGUAAUCUACCUUUUAGUGAGGAAUAACGAUGGGAAACCGUCGCUAAUACCGCAUAAUCCCGAGAGGGGAAAGCAGCAAUGCGCUGAAAGAGGAGCCCGCGGCCGAUUAGCUAGUUGGUGAGGUAAGAGCCCACCAAGGCAGAGAUCGGUAGCCGGCCUGAGAGGGCACACGGCCACACUGGCACUGAAACACGGGCCAGACUCCUACGGGAGGCAGCAGUGGGGAAUCUUGCACAAUGGGGGCAACCCUGAUGCAGCGACGCCGCGUGAGCGAUGAAGCCCUUCGGGGUGUAAAGCUCUUUCGGCAGGGAAGAUGAUGACGGUACCUGCAGAAGCAGCUGCGGCUAACUACGUGCCAGCAGCCGCGGUAAUACGUAGGCAGCGAGCGUUGUUCGGAGUUACUGGGCGUAAAGGGUGUGUAGGCGGUUCUUUAAGUUUGGUGUGAAAUCUCCCGGCUUAACCGGGAGGGUGCGCCGAAUACUGAGGGACUAGAGUGCGGGAGAGGAAAGUGGAAUUCCUGGUGUAGCGGUGAAAUGCGUAGAUAUCAGGAGGAACACCGGUGGUGUAGACGGCUUUCUGGACCGUAACUGACGCUGAGACACGAAAGCGUGGGUAGCAAACAGGAUUAGAUACCCUGGUAGUCCACGCCCUAAACGAUGCAUAUUUGGUGUGGGUCAUUCAGUUGAUCCGUGCCGGAGCUAACGCGUUAAAUAUGCCGCCUGGGGAGUACAGUCGCAAGGCUG